AUUGAACGCUGGGCGGCAUGCUUUACACAUGCAAGUCGGACGGCAGCACAGAGAAGCUUGCUUCUUGGGUGGCGAGUGGCGAACGGGUGAGUAACGCAUCGGAACGUACCGAGUAGUGGGGGAUAACUGUCCGAAAGGAUGGCUAAUACCGCAUACGCUUUGAGAAGGAAAGCGGGGGAUCUUCGGACCUCGCGCUAUUCGAGCGGCCGAUGUCUGAUUAGCUAGUUGGUGGGGUAAAGGCCUACCAAGGCGACGAUCAGUAGCGGGUCUGAGAGGAUGAUCCGCCACACUGGGACUGAGACACGGCCCAGACUCCUACGGGAGGCAGCAGUGGGGAAUUUUGGACAAUGGGCGCAAGCCUGAAUCCAGCCAUGCCGCGUGUCUGAAGAAGGCCUUCGGGUUGUAAAGGACUUUUGUCAGGGGAAGAAAAGCUUUGGGUUAAUACCCUGGAGUGAUGACGGUACCUGAAGAAUAAGCACCGGCUAACUACGUGCCAGCAGCCGCGGUAAUACGUAGGGUGCGAGCGUUAAUCGGAAUUACUGGGCGUAAAGCGAGCGCAGACGGUUUGUUAAGCAGGAUGUGAAAUCCCCGGGCUCAACCUGGGAACUGCGUUCUGAACUGGCAGGCUAGAGUAUGUCAGAGGGGGGUAGAAUUCCACGUGUAGCAGUGAAAUGCGUAGAGAUGUGGAGGAAUACCGAUGGCGAAGGCAGCCCCCUGGGAUAAUACUGACGUUCAUGCUCGAAAGCGUGGGUAGCAAACAGGAUUAGAUACCCUGGUAGUCCACGCCCUAAACGAUGUCAAUUAGCUGUUGGGGUACUUGAUACCUUAGUAGCGUAGCUAACGCGUGAAAUUGACCGCCUGGGGAGUACGGUCGCAAGAUUAAAACUCAAAGGAAUUGACGGGGACCCGCACAAGCGGUGGAUGAUGUGGAUUAAUUCGAUGCAACGCGAAGAACCUUACCUGGUCUUGACAUGUACGGAAUCCUCCAGAGACGGAGGAGUGCCUUCGGGAGCCGUAACACAGGUGCUGCAUGGCUGUCGUCAGCUCGUGUCGUGAGAUGUUGGGUUAAGUCCCGCAACGAGCGCAACCCUUGUCAUUAGUUGCCAUCAUUUAGUUGGGCACUCUAAUGAGACUGCCGGUGACAAACCGGAGGAAGGUGGGGAUGACGUCAAGUCCUCAUGGCCCUUAUGACCAGGGCUUCACACGUCAUACAAUGGUCGGUACAGAGGGUAGCCAAGCCGCGAGGUGGAGCCAAUCCCAAAAAACCGAUCGUAGUCCGGAUUGCACUCUGCAACUCGAGUGCAUGAAGUCGGAAUCGCUAGUAAUCGCAGGUCAGCAUACUGCGGUGAAUACGUUCCCGGGUCUUGUACACACCGCCCGUCACACCAUGGGAGUGGGGGAUACCAGAAGUAGGUAGGGUAACCGCAAGGAGCCCGCUUACCACGGUAUGCUUCAUGACUGGGGUGAAGUCGUA
rnacentral:rRNA from 1 species